UGAAUCUCCAGUCCAUAUCCACUGAAAACUAUGAUGAUAACCAAAUGCAUGAGGACCCUGGUGCAGAUGAAACACAUACACGUGGGUUGCUCCACUGCCUCCUGCUGGCUGCCUGCUUAUGGUCUCAGAAAGGCAAUUUGCCAGGUUCAUGCAUACUGGAGGAAGAGGAGGUCAGAUGGGAGGAAGAAGGACACUGCCAGCAAGACCUGAAGUUUUCAGGAGAGGAAGAUUUAAUCCACUGACCCAAGAUACUCUGUGCAGGGGGCCUCAGCAAGCCCUAAGAAAGGAGAAGAGCGGGACUGCAAGUAGUACGGAGGUGGCCUGAUGAAGGGGGUAACUUGUGCCAUCCCAGCAUUUCCUCAGCUCCUGUGGUCUGAUGGGAAUCAUUUUAUCUCCCUGCUCUAAGAGAAAGACUGAAAUACUCUGAUACGUUGUUGGUGGAGCACAGUAAUGUACUUUUUAGAGUCAAACGUACACAUGUGAGCUAGGGAAUGAUUCUCUAUUAAAUAAAAACAAAAAAAGAGUUACGGGGGGACA
rnacentral:lncRNA from 1 species